GCAGGAGCCCGGACGCGGGCAAGAUGGCGGCCGCGGCCGUGCGGCCCGUGACCUGGACCACUGGGCUGGGACCCACGACCCCACCACCACGCCUGGAGGACGCGCAGCGGCGCCUCGGCCUUGGAAGGGGAGUUUCCCAGCGCGAGCCCCGCCCUUCCCCGCCCGGGAGGCGCCUCGGGGCGGGGUCACUGGCCGGGAGGCCCCGCCUUCCGCCCGAAAGCGCCGGUGCACCCCGCAGGCCCUGCCCGUGGGUCCACAGGCCGGAUCCCCGGGUUCCUAGGCUGGGACUGCUUCUCAGAACCACUCUGUCGUUUUUAAGCAGGGUCACACACUCUAGCUCACUGGGUCCAUUUUAAUUUCUAUUAAACAUUUUUUUUUUUUUGCAAAUGAUGUAGUAGGAGAUCCAAGGUGUUUGGUUAAUGAUUUAUUCACUCAUUAGUCAUUCCACAAACUUGUCUUGAGCACCUGUUAUGUACCCAGCACUGUGCUGGAAUGCUGAGGAGACAGGAGUGAAGUAAAAAGACAUGGUUCCGGCAGGAAACAGGCAAGGAGAGCCUUGACUUGGUAGGGCUAACACAGUGCUACACAGGAGGGACGCCCGCUCGGUGUCGGGGGUCAGCAAAGCUUCCUUAAGGACCACUAGGUUGAGACAAGAAGGAUGAGUAUGGGAUUAGCCAGGAAAGGGAAAAGGGCAGUGGGAACUGGAAGAGAAGAGCCUUCUAGGACUGGGAAAGAGCAAGUGCCGGGUCAGGAGAGAGGACAUAGCAGUGAGGAGGCAGUAGGUAUGGAUGAAUGAGCAGAGGAAGUGGGGAGAGAUUAAGGUGCUUUCAGAAACGGGUUGGAAACCAGUUUAGUGAGUUUGGAUGGCAUUUACCUAAAGGCAAUGUUAGAGUCAUCGAAAGUUUUUAAUCAGGCAAGUGGUAUGAUCAGUUUUUUGUUUUGUUUUGUUUUUUUUGAGACGGAGUCUGGCUAUAUCGCCAGGCUGGAAUGCAAUGGCGCGAUCUCUCCUCACUGCAACCUCCGCCUCCCGGGUUCAAGCGAUUCUCCUGCCUCAGCACCUCGAGUAGCUGGGACUACAGGCGCGCGCCACCACGCCCAGUAAGAGGAAAUAACUCUACAUUCAAAUUUGAGCAGGGCACUUGGUGACCUACUUAGACAUGACAUUCCUUGGCCUCCCUUUCAGCAAGAUGAGAAAACUGAGGCACAGAGAGGUGAAAUAAGGAAUGAAAUAUUACUGGAUGAAAUAAUUAUACUGAUCCUAGCCUUAUUUUAAAAGGGCCCCCAGAAUGCUCUUCUCCAAGACUUAGAAAAAUCAAAUGCUAUCCAUCCCUCAAGAUACAUCCCUCCAGCCCCUCCUUGAAGUCUCCUGCAGCUAGAAGUAGAAGUAGCAUCUAUCCCCAUCUGGACUCCUUAGCACUUUGCUGUACCUGCCUUAGUCCCCAUCUCUUUACACACACACACACACACACACACACACACACAGAGUAUUAUAAUACUAUUACCUAUUAUAUUACAUUAUAUUAUUGUAGUUCUACAGGAACUACAAGGAAUUCUACUGUGAAUUCCUUAAGGGUGGGAUACAUUUUACAAUCAUCACUGUUUCUCUCAUUAGUUGUGGAAUCAAAAAAAUGAGUGCACGAUGAAAAAUUAUUCAAACACAUACAUGCUUUCAUUCCAAUUGAAAAUGUAAAAAUAUUACUGUUAAAACAAUAUUAAAGGACAUGUAAUACAAUUCAAAUAUUCCUACCAUGCACGAUUGUUUUCACUUCUUUGUGCCUCUUUCACCAUUUAUUUGUGUGCAUACUCAGCAUAUUUGUUUGUGUAACAGGAUGUUAAAAAUAGAAUUUGUUGCCUGUAGUUUUUGCUAAAGCUCUACUAGACUGGAACAGAACAAUAGGUGGUAAAUACUCCAUUCCUCAGUGAGAUGCUACCUACCUAUGCAGAGCUGGAAAAGAUUUUGCAACCUGAAAACCCAAUCCUUUCUGAGAUAUAAAAGAACAGAAGAGUCUGGAAGUGAUUUCUUCGGAGAAAUUCAUUUUCUGUGAGUCUCACUCCUAAUCCCCUAUGAGAUAUCUGGGGGUGAAGGGCAGGUGCUGUUCCACACAGAGAGCUUGAUCCGUGCAUCUUGGAAGAGGGAGGUAGGUAGGGAACAGGGUGGGCUGCUUUGGGACCCAUGCCUUAAAACUCAGGUACUGGGGCUGGCUGGUUCUAAUGGCCAAGAGGUGAGAGGUGCACCUGUGGGGAACAACCUUCACUCUCAGUUUGUCAGGAUAGAGGAUAUGAGUCUUGCCCUGAGGAUGGGAUGUAGACUACAAGGGCAAGAGAGUCAGCUUAAAGAAAUCUGUAGAACUAUCUGCCAGGACUGAGGUGACCAUAGCAGAGAGAUGUUGGAGGUAUUCUGUUGGGAACAAGAUGGUGUGAGGUAAAGAUUGUAUUUGAUACCUGCUGGAGAAGAGAUCUUGCAUUAAGGCCAGCAUUAAGAGAACUUCAGAUGAGAAAUCCCUGGUGAAGCAGAGUCUCCAAAGAAUGCAUAAGAGCUCUGCAGUGAGAAAGAGAUCACCUGAAUACCUUCCAAAAUCAAAGCGUGGCAGUGACCAGCUAAGCAGAUCUUUCCUGUCUUCUACCUGGAAGGGCCUGAAACUGCAAUUCAUGAGUUUGGGGAAGGCAGAGAGGCACAAAGUGGGGAAAUGGAAAAGUUGACUAUGUCCGCUUUCCUACUGCAGUAUUCCAGAGAAGAAACUUCAAGCUCAGAAUAUUGGCUACUACCUGUGAUAAACAUUUAAAUUAUUGGAACGAGAGAGUUUUUAUAACUAAAUUUGAAAGAAGCAAUUUUUUUUAUCAAAGACCAACCCGAAGAUUCAUGACCACUACCUGUGAUUUCAUCCAUGUUGCAAGGAAAAUCCUGCCCCACUUCCCCAAUAGGAAGAGUGGUGGGGGAAUAAUAAAGUUGUUUUAUGAUGCAUCCUGUGGACUUCUACUCGACAGAAUGGUAACAUUCAACUGUAAUCAGGAUGAGCAAGCCACUUUAUUAAACUAAAAUUUUAAACUUUAAUAAAUAUAAUACAAACUGAAAAAUAAAAAUAAUUUUUCAACUCUACACAAGUAUGUUAACUGCAUAAACAGUGAGAUGUUACACAGGGCUGAGGCCUAUACUUCUUCAGUUUGUACAUUAAACGUCUCCAUGGAGGGUCAAUUGCAUCCUACCUAUUCUGACAGUUAUCAGGUAGCGAGAGAUUUGAGGAAGAGGCGCUUUUCUAAUCUGGGGUAGGAAAAGGAAUGAUACCAUGUAUCAUGAGAAGUAUUUGCACAUAGUGUGUCAAUUAAGCAAGUGCUCAGACUAUUAACAACAUUACUAUGUGAUGAAUGUUUAUACAGUGGAUUCAAAAAUAAGCUUCUUUCCAGAAAGCAGCUUAGUUUUCAUUAAUUAUUACCAGCAUCUUGGUAAUUAUUUAUUUAAUGGUUUAAAAGUUAAAGUUUCAAUCUAUAUUUGUUUUUUUAACAUCAGCCAAGGAAAUACAUGUCUGUUAUACUGCAUCUUUGGAAGUAUGCAAUAAGUGUAACUAUUGAAUCUAUAUUGAAGAGCCACAAGACACUGAAUUUAAUUGGACGAGACUAUUUUAUUUAGGAAGACAAUCAUCUCCUGUGAUCAGCUUAAGGUUUUUGUUUUGUUUUAUCUGGAACAAGCUAAGUUCAUAUUUAGAAAAUAAAGUUAGUUUUUUGGGUGCAUGAGUUUUAGAGUAAAUUAGUAAUUUAGUAAACUUUGACAUUUCCACUUUGUCUCCAAACACAUUUAAAUUCUAUCUGUCUGACUGAAGUUCUAAGGCAUUCUGUGGUUACUUAGAAAUGAUUCCUUAUAUUAAUGUUUACAAAUGCUAAAUUGUAUUUGUUAAAUACAUGUCUUAUUGCCUAAGAGUUUUCCUUUCUUAUAAGUUUAAUAUAAAUGUCUAGGAAAUAAGACUCCCAUUUAAUAGCUUAUAAAGAAUGCUGAUGUAUCAGCAGUGGCCUUGACAUUAUUGGAUACAAGUAAGAUCUACACUGAUGAUUAAAUCAAAUUGGCUAAGAUUAUUCGUUCUAAUAAAAGCACUGACUCCAUGAAGUUUUCUUGUGGCUGAAAUUAACAUUCGUGUUCCUACAAGCUCUUUAAAAUCUUAGUUACUGAAAAUUAUUCCUUUUGACCUAAUUUUUUCUUUACUUUGGAUGUAUUUGACAAGGUAGAGGUUAGGGAUUGGAGAGUAUGUAAAGAAUGAAAUAAAAUGUAGUCACUUUUAACUAUAUCCACAUA
rnacentral:lncRNA from 10 species